GUCCUAUAAAAAUUAAGGGGCAGAUUCACUGUGAGACAAAGACAUCCAGCUCUCCACACUGCUGGUCGAAGCGAGUGUACAGUGCAUUGAGCAUGGUGAUGACCUGCAGCGGUGAGCACUGGGAGCAGAUGGCAGUGAACCCAACGAUGUCUGAGAAGAGCAUGGUGACAUUACUGAACUUCUUGGCUUGCACAACUUGCCCUUGCCACAGCUGCUGAGCAACCUCACAGGGAAAUAUGGAGCACAGAAGAUCUACUGUCUUUUUCUUCUCCUCCUCCAGGGCUUGGUGGGCUUGCUCAAGGGUAGCCUUCAGCUUCCCCAGCCUCUUCUUCAGGCCAUCUUGAGCUCGGGCUUGUUCCCCUAUUAAGACCACAUCCCUCAGUGCAUUGUGAAUUGGGAUGUCUGAGAGGUAGAGCCCUCGUCCUGUAAAAUCUUCUAAUCUGUCCACACAGGGUGACCCCAAAAACAAGAUUGCACUGGAUUCAACAAUGUAGAUCAUUUGGCCUUUGAGGUCCAUAACCUAUGAAGG
rnacentral:lncRNA from 1 species